CACAAAGGAGCGAUUUAUAAUGAUCUAUUUAACCAGAAACCAUAUUUUCUUUUUCUCAGUUUAAAAUGCUGACUUUAAUACGUCUAAUAUUCGUUUUACAUAAAUUUACAUUUAGUUUAUUUAUCUGUUUAGAAAAUAGUUUAAUAUCUGUUGUAGUUAAGAUUGUGUCUCUCUGAUUGGUCAGUUUCUGAGCUCAUUUGCAUUUCCUAUUCCUCCUCUUUCAGUCCAGACUUUUAAAGAGUUUUUUCUUCUUAAUGUUUUUGUAUUUGCUUCAAUGUAAAAUGUUGUGUAGUUUAUGACAUGGUAGUUUAUGGUACAUGGUUAUUGUACAUGGAAGGUAACGGUGUAGUUUAUGUAGUUUAUUAAAUCUCCUGUAAAUAAGUCAGUGUCUGCAGUCCUCCUGAGUUGUGUAGUGAAGUAUCGCUUCUCGGCCUUUUGGCUAAGAUCAAGUGUAGUAUCUGUUCUUAUCAGUUUAAUAUCUGAUACGUCCCCUAUCCGGGGACCAUAUAUUAAAUUGAUUUUUGGAACAGGGAGAUGGAAUAGGGGCUUGCUCCGUCCACUCCACGCAUCGACCCGGUAUUGCAGUACAUCCGGGAACGGUGCACCCCAUAAUAAAGUGAAAGAAAGAUUAUAACAUUCUUUAUCACCUCUACUUUUUAUAAUUUUAUAUAAGCGAAGUUGUGCAUACGAGAUGAUUGUAGUUAAAUGUGUUCAGUGUACAGUGAAUAAUUCUAGUAGAAGUUAUAGUUAAGGAUGUAGGAUCAGUGUGUGCUCAUUUACUACCGGCUUUAUUUCUUUAAAUUAUUAUUUUAACACGAUUUAAAUCUCAACUUUCAGCGAUUAUAACAACCACAACAAUAUUGUGUACAGUUAAACUUAAUUUGGCACUAAAUACUUAAAAAACGACGUCUCGGAAACAUAUAAUUACACGGGUAAUAAAUCAUAACUAAUAAAUGAAUAUCAGUCAGACUCAUUACCGGCCGAGCAGUUGAUAUAUAGUGAGAAAUUUUAAAGUAUUUGUCUGAUUUAUUUGUGGUGAUUUGUGGUCUGGAGUCAGACUAAAAAAGGAACUAAUUUACUUCCGGGAUCGCUCUUAGCUCUUAUUACGUAUUCAGAGCAUUGCAUCAUGGGAAAUUUCAUUCUGCUCACAACAUAUUUAAAAAAAAUGCUAAAUAAUUGACGUCGUUCAGAAACACGGUAUUCGUUAUGAGUGUUUAGAUUGUACGGUUUUCCAUGUGCAUGUGUGUGUAAUAAAUGAGAAAUGUCACUCACCAUGAUGGUAAAGUGUGUGUGUGAUGGUGACGGCGCUCCACAGUCCGUUUCCAACUCAUACUUACCUGGCAGGGGAGAUACCAUGAUCAAGAAGGUGGUUCACCCAGGGCGAGGCUCAACCAUUGCACUCCGGUUGUGCUGACCCCUGCGAAUUCCCCAAAUGUGGGAAUCUCGACUGCAUAAUUUAUGGUAGUGGGGGACUGCGUUCGCGCUCUCCCCUGAU